GCCUGGCUGGCUCAUUCGGUUAAGCGUCUGACUUCAGCCCAGGUUAUGAUCGUAGUUUCGUGGGUUCGAGCCCCGUGUUGGGCU
rnacentral:tRNA from 1 species